rnacentral:rRNA from 1 species
CCUUGUACACACCGCCCGUCAAGUCAUGGAAGCCGGUAGUGCCCGAAGUCGCCGCGUCACUGCGGUGCCUACGGCAAGAUCGGUGACUGGGACU